ACGGAAGGCAGCAGUGGGGAAUAUUGCACAAUGGGGGAAACCCUGAUGCAGCGACGCCGCGUGAGUGAAGAAGUAUUUCGGUAUGUAAAGCUCUAUCAGCAAGGAAGAAAAUGACGGUACUUGACUAAGAAGCCCCGGCUAACUACGUGCCAGCAGCCGCGGUAAUACGUAGGGGGCAAGCGUUAUCCGGAUUUACUGGGUGUAAAGGGUGCGUAGGUGGCAGGGCAAGUCAGAUGUGAAAGACCGGGGCUCAACUCCGGGGCUGCAUUUGAAACUGUCUUGCUGGAGUGCAGGAGGGGCAAGCGGAAUUCCUAGUGUAGCGGUGAAAUGCGUAGAUAUUAGGAGGAACACCGGUGGCGAAGGCGGCUUGCUGGACUGAUACUGACACUGAGGCACGAAAGCGUGGGGAGCAAACAGGAUUAGAUACCCUGGUA
rnacentral:rRNA from 1 species